UUUAUUGGAGAGUUUGAUCCUGGCUCAGGAUGAACGCUGGCGGCGUGCCUAAUACAUGCAAGUCGAGCGAAUGGAUUAAGAGCUUGCUCUUAUGAAGUUAGCGGCGGACGGGUGAGUAACACGUGGGUAACCUGCCCAUAAGACUGGGAUAACUCCGGGAAACCGGGGCUAAUACCGGAUAAUAUUUUGAACUGCAUGGUUAGAAAUUGAAAGGCGGCUUCGGCUGUCACUUAUGGAUGGACCCGCGUCGCAUUAGCUAGUUGGUGAGGUAACGGCUCACCAAGGCAACGAUGCGU
rnacentral:rRNA from 1 species